rnacentral:lncRNA from 1 species
GGCAAUCACAACCAUUUCAAGCUUACCACCUGGCCAACAAUAAUUGGAAGACACCAAGUUUUCAGAAAUUUUAAAAUACGAAGCUGUGCCACAUGAAGUGGUUAUGCGUGAGUCAUAGUGAGGAAAUAAGAAGAUGGCCCCCACCACCCAAAGACAAUAGAUGAGCUCUCCUCAUGCUUCUGGAUGCUCCGAUGCUCUCAAUGGGAUCUGAGAGCCAUGAAAAUGCAAAGUGGGCACAACAUAGAAGAGAGAAGUUGAUUAAAGCGCUGAAUGAAUUUGUGGAAAUCUAUAGGUAAGUUAAUUCACCUGAAAGAGACAGAUAGGCCAUUUGGCCAAAGCAAGACAAACCUUCAGCUGUUAACAGCUGCACAGAUGUAAUGUGU